GAACUGCAGUAUUACAGAAGAGGGCUUCAGUUCUCUUGCAUCAGCACUGAGAUCAAACCCCUCACACAUGAGAGUGCUGGUGCUGAAUGGGAGUAAAUCAGGAGACUCAGGAGUGAAGCAUCUUUCUUCUCUUCUGGAGGAUCCCAACUGUAAACUGAAGGAACUAUACCUUGGAAACUGCAGUAUUACAGAAGAGGGCUUCAGUUCUCUUGCAUUAGCACUGAGAUCAAACCCCUCACAAAUGAGACAGCUGUGGCUGAAUGGGAGUAAAGCAGGAGACUCAGGAGUGAAGCAUCUUUCUUCUCUUCUGGAGGAUCCCAACUGUAAACUGAAGAAACUAGACCUGUCAAACUGCAGUAUUACAGAUGAAGGCUUCAGAUCUUUAGCAUCAGCAGUGAGAUCAAACCCAUCAGCCCUCAGAUAUCUUUGGCUGGAUGGGAAUCACCCUGGACCCUCAGCACUGCAGCUGUUCUCUGAACUUGAGGAAGAUCCAAACUGUAAACAUAUCAUCAUAUAUGGACUCUCAUGAAUCCAUUCACAUUUUAUUCCACAUUAAAUAUUCCUCUACACUGUAAAAAAAGAAUAAUGACAUCUGAUGUAAAAAUGCUUUCUCUUUAGUUACUGGAAUGAUUAGUGACAUGUUGAAUCACUGCAUAUAUGAUAUAUAGUAGUUGUCCAACAGAUCCUUUCCACUGUACCUGUCUUUGU